rnacentral:rRNA from 1 species
UGCCCAAGAGAUCGGGAUAACACCUGAAACAGAUGCUAAUACCGGAUAACAACAGAUGAUGCCUAUCAACUGUUUAAAAGAUGGUUCUGCUAUCACUCUUGGAUGGACCUGCGGUGCAUUAGCUAGUUGGUAGGGUAACGGCCUACCAAGGCGAUGAUGCAUAGCCGAGUUGAGAGACUGAUCGGCCACAUUGGGACUGAGACACGGCCCAAACUCCUACGGGAGGCAGCAGAG